CACGUAGGGCGCAAGCGUUGUCCGGAAUUAUUGGGCGUAAAGAGCUCGUAGGCGGUCUGUUGCGUCCGCUGUGAAAACUCGGGGCUUAACCCCGAGCCUGCAGUGGAUACGGGCAGACUAGAGGUAGGUAGGGGAGAAUGGAAUUCCCGGUGUAGCGGUGAAAUGCGCAGAUAUCGGGAGGAACACCGGUGGCGAAGGCGGUUCUCUGGGCCUUACCUGACGCUGAGGAGCGAAAGCGUGGGAGCGAACAGGAUUGAGAUAC
rnacentral:rRNA from 1 species